CAAUAGCGUAUAUUUAAGUUGUUGCAGUUAAAAAGCUCGUAGUUGGAUUUCGGGUGGGACGCAGCGGUCUCGCAUUGCGUUUGUACUGCUGCAGCCCUCCUUCUUGCCGGGGGCGGCCUCUCGGACUUCACUGUCUGGGGGUCAGAAUCGGCGAUGUUACUUUGAGUAAAUUAGAGUGUUCAAAGCAAGCUUACGCUCUGAAUAUAAUAGCAUGGGAUAACACGACUGGACUCUGGCCUAUCGUGUUGGUCUAUAGGACCAGAGUAAUGAUUAAGAGGGACAGUCGGGGGCAUUCGUAUUCCGUUGUCAGAGGUGAAAUUCUUGGAUUUACGGAAGACGAACAUCUGCGAAAGCAUUUGCCAAGGAUGUUUUCAUUG
rnacentral:rRNA from 1 species